rnacentral:misc_RNA from 1 species
GAUGAAGAACGUAGCGAAAUGCGAUAAGUAGUGUGAAUUGCAGAAUUCAGUGAAUCAUCGAAUCUUUGAACGCACAUUGCGCCCUUUGGUAUUCCUUAGGGCAUGCCUGUUCGAGCGUCAUUUAAACCUUCAAGCUCAGCUUGGUGUUGGGUGUUUGUUCCGCCUCUGUGUGUGAACUCGCCUCAAAACAAUUGGCAGCCGGCGUACUUGUUUCGGAGCGCAGCACAUUUUGCGAUCCAGAUCAACGUACAGCGGCAUCCAAGAAGCCUUAUUUAACGCUCUUGACCUCGGAUCAGGUAGGGAUACCCGCUGAACUUAAGCAUAUCAAUAAGCGGAGGA